GCAAGAAACGGUUCUUAAUGAGGAGAAACAAGAUAAGUAUUUUGUCGUAAACGCCGACGAUGAGCGAAACCGAAGCAACCGGCGUACCCGAUGAUUCCGCUCCAGCGACUUCACUCUCCGCCGAUGCGACGGAGCAUACACCGAUCGGAGUGAUUGAAUCGGUGGAGGAAGCCGUAGGAGGAGCAGAGAAAUGGGUGGAUGAUCAUUCGUCUCCACGUCGUUUCAAGCUUCCCUCAAAUAGCUCAAGUUUUAUGUUUUCGCUCACUUUCUGCUAAUAAAUAACCUUGGAGACUGAGGUUUCCACUGGAUCAUAUUGUUCCUGGUGACCUUAACCGGACUCAGGACAUGGCUAACCGAACAGACAACUCCAAUCCCUGUAUACAUGGGCUUCCUCUUGAUACUCAACGGUUUACAACGCGAGUGAUUGGUGUUGCUCUGUUUCAUGUUACAUGUUCUUCUUUUGUUGUUUUUGUUAUUGAUUAUGGUGUGUCAUUACUUUCAUUGUGAAGAUAUACCAAAGCUUAUUCUCAUUGAUGUGUUGUUUUAUCAUAAUUUUUUUUGUAAGAACCCUUAAAUAAGAAACUUGCAAUGGAGGACA